GCUUGCGCUGGAGGCCCCCUUAUACCCUUAAGUCCACGGACCCUUGGGGGUUGGUGGCGGACGGGUGAGUAACGCGUGGGAACGUGCCUUUAGGUUCGGAAUAGCUCCUGGAAACUGGUGGUAAUGCCGAAUGUGCCCUUCGGGGGAAAGAUUUAUCGCCUUUAGAGCGGCCCGCGUCUGAUUUGCUAGUUGGUGAGGUAACGGCUCACCAAGGCGACGAUCAGUAGCUGGUCUGAGAGGAUGACCAGCCACUCUGGGACUGAGACACCGCCCAAACUCCUACGGGAGGCACCGGUGGGGAAUCUUGCGCAAUGGGCGAAAGCCUGACUCAGCCAUGCCGCGUGAAUGAUGAAGGUCUUAGGAUUGUAAAAUUCUUUCGCCGUGGACUAUAAUGACGGUACCCGGAGAAAAAGCCCCGGCUAACUUCGUGCCACCGGCCCCUGAAAUACCAAGGAGGCUAGCGUUGCUCGGAAUUACUGGGCGUAAAGGGCGCGUACGCGGAUCGUAAGUCAGAGGUGAAAUCCCUGGGCUCAACCCUGGAACUGCCUUUGAUACUGGCGAUCUUGAAUAUGAGAGAGGUAUGUGGAACUCCUACUGUAGAGGUGAAAUGCUAGAUAGCCGGAAGAGCACCUGUGGCUAAGGCUACAUACUGGCUCUUUACUGACGCUGAGGCGCGAAGCGUGGGGGAGCAAACAGGAUUAGAUCCCCUGGUAGUCCCCCGCCGUAAACGAUGAUUGCUAGAUGGCGGGCUGCAUCCUGGUCGGUGGACGCCCCUUAACGCAUUUAACAUGUCCGCCUGGGGUGUACCGGCCCAGAAUCAAACUUAACGGAAUGGCUGCGC
rnacentral:rRNA from 1 species